rnacentral:rRNA from 1 species
UACAGAGGAUGCAAGCGUUAUCCGGAAUGAUUGGGCGUAAAGCGUCUGUAGGUGGCUUUUUAAGUCCGCCGUCAAAUCCCAGGGCUCAACUCUGGACAGGCGGUGGAAACUACCAAGCUUGAGUACGGUAGAGGCAGGUGGAAUUCCCGGUGUAGCGGUGGAAUGCGUAGAGAUCGGGAAGAACAUCGGUGGCGAAGGCGGCCUGCUGGGCUGUUGCUGACGCUGAGGCGCGACAGCGUGGGGAGCAAACAGG